rnacentral:rRNA from 1 species
CCUACGGGUGGCAGCAGUGAGGAAUCUUUGUCAAUGGGCGCGAGCCUGAACCAGCCAAGUAGCGUGCAGGAUGACUGCUCUCCGGGUUGUAAACUUCUUUUAUAAAGGAAUACAGUGAGGCAAGUGUGCCUUUUUGUAUGUACUUUAUGAUUAAGGAUCGGCUAAUUCUGGGCCAGCAGCCGGGGUAAUACGGAGGGUCAGGGCGUUGUCCGGAUUUAUUGGGUUUAAAGGGGGCGUAGAUGGGUUGUUAAGUCAGUUGUGAAAGUUUGCGGCUCAAACGUAAAAUUGCAAUUGAUACUGGCAGUCUUGAGUACAGUUGAGGUAAGCGGAAUUCGUGGUGUAGCGGUGAAAUGCUUAGAUAUCACGAAGAACUCCGAUUGCGAAGGCAGCUUACUAAACUGCCACUGACAUUGAGGCUCGAAAGUGUGGGUAUCAAACAGGAUUAGAUACCCGGGUAGUC